ACUUGGCAGAAACUUGGGAAUAGCUUUUGCUUUGUUUGAGGCAAUCCCAAAAUCCACUACUGAGUGUUGCUUUCUGGUGUCCGCACAUUCUCUGAGAUGGGGGACAGGGAGGGGGAGAAGAGGUGUCUCUGUGUGUUUUCCACCCACCCUACUGCUUUUCACAGGGGAAAUUUCAACUUUCUCAGUUUGCUGUUUGCAGGAAGGGGCCGGGAGUCUCCCAGGAGACCCUGGCACAGCUCCCCCGAGACUCCCCGGGACAGGCAGGCCUGUUCAGAGGCAAUGCCGGUGCCGUUCUCCACUGGGAUCUGCAGGGGAGGCUAAAGUAGCACGACUGGCCGCAGAGGUGCACUGGCCUAGAAAGUUCCCAGAUCCCCCAUCACAGCCCAACCGACCAAAUAAACAAAUAAACGGUGGCACACACCCGCUCCCUGCCCUUCCUCCCCCAGUCUGUACCCAUCCCUGCCAAGGCCCGCUCCUGGGGCCUGCCCUGUGCCUCAUCCUCGGCAUGUUUUGGAGGCGCAUCUGGAUUUCUGGAGGAGCUGAGGGGCUGCCUCAGCUUCCAGAGGAGUGGCGAGUCGGGAUGGCCAGACCUGAGGUCACUGUGGCCCCACAGGGGCACCUGCCUUGCCCUGCAGCUCUCCCACCGCUCCACCCAGUGAAAGGCCCUGGACUCGCCGGGGCUUCCCUGCAGCCCCUCAGAGCAGAGAGCCUGCAGUUCCCCGGGGGAUCUCUAACCUCCGUCUGCCGUGUUUACAGUCACUUAUUCGGCUCUGCGCAAACAUGCUUUUCUUCAGCAUG